AAGACCUUACUUCAUAGGAUCAUUUCUAUAGUAAGCUCUUCCCGAGAUCUUCACAAUAUGUGAGACCGGACAAGUCACGUUGAUGAGGCGUGGCGCAGUUCCCUGAGCGUGAGUCCGGCGGAGAUCAGUGAUCUUCAGCCAUCGAUGAUCGUUCACCUUUCUCCGCAAGGGGAGAGGCGUGGGGUGCUGUCGCUGUCUGAGUGGC